rnacentral:rRNA from 1 species
AGACGUCUACAUUAGAUACCCGCGUAGUCCCAGCCGUAAACUAUGCGCGUUAGGUGUAUCGGUGACCACGAGUCACCGAGGUGCCGAAGGGAAACCGUGAAACGUGCCGCCUGGGAAGUACGGUCGCAAGGCUGAAACUUAAAGGAAUUGGCGGGGAGCACCACAACGGGUGGAGCCUGCGGUUUAAUUGGACUCAACGCCGGGAAGCUCACCGGAUAAGACAGCGGAAUGAUUGCCGGGCUGAAGACUCUGCAUGACUAGCUG